AUUGAACGCUGGCGGCAUGCUUUACACAUGCAAGUCGAACGGUAACAGGCCGCCAGGUGCUGACGAGUGGCGAACGGGUGAGCAAUGCAUCGGAACGUGCCCAGUCGUGGGGGAUAACUACUCGAAAGAGUAGCUAAUACCGCAUACGAUCUAUGGAUGAAAGCGGGGGACCGUAAGGCCUCGCGCGAUUGGAGCGGCCGAUGUCAGAUUAGGUAGUUGGUGGGGUAAAGGCUCACCAAGCCAACGAUCUGUAGCUGGUCUGAGAGGACGACCAGCCACACUGGGACUGAGACACGGCCCAGACUCCUACGGGAGGCAGCAGUGGGGAAUUUUGGACAAUGGGCGCAAGCCUGAUCCAGCAAUGCCGCGUGCAGGAAGAAGGCCUUCGGGUUGUAAACUGCUUUUGUACGGAACGAAACGGCUCUGGUUAAUACCCGGGGCUAAUGACGGUACCGUAAGAAUAAGCACCGGCUAACUACGUG
rnacentral:rRNA from 1 species